AAAUUGAAGAGUUUGAUCAUGGCUCAGAUUGAACGCUGGCGGCAGGCCUAACACAUGCAAGUCGAACGGUAACAGGAAGCAGCUUGCUGCUUUGCUGACGAGUGGCGGACGGGUGAGUAAUGUCUGGGAAACUGCCUGAUGGAGGGGGAUAACUACUGGAAACGGUGGCUAAUACCGCAUAACGUCGCAAGACCAAAGAGGGGGACCUUCGGGCCUCUUGCCAUCAGAUGUGCCCAGAUGGGAUUAGCUAGUUGGUGAGGUAACGGCUCACCAAGGCGACGAUCCCUAGCUGGUCUGAGAGGAUGACCAGCCACACUGGAACUGAGACACGGUCCAGACUCCUACGGGAGGCAGCAGUGGGGAAUAUUGCACAAUGGGCGCAAGCCUGAUGCAGCCAUGCCGCGUGUAUGAAGAAGGCCUUCGGGUUGUAAAGUACUUUCAGCGGGGAGGAAGGUGUUGUGGUUAAUAACCGCAGCAAUUGACGUUACCCGCAGAAGAAGCACCGGCUAACUCCGUGCCAGCAGCCGCGGUAAUACGGAGGGUGCAAGCGUUAAUCGGAAUUACUGGGCGUAAAGCGCACGCAGGCGGUCUGUCAAGUCGGAUGUGAAAUCCCCGGGCUCAACCUGGGAACUGCAUUCGAAACUGGCAGGCUUGAGUCUUGUAGAGGGGGGUAGAAUUCCAGGUGUAGCGGUGAAAUGCGUAGAGAUCUGGAGGAAUACCGGUGGCGAAGGCGGCCCCCUGGACAAAGACUGACGCUCAGGUGCGAAAGCGUGGGGAGCAAACAGGAUUAGAUACCCUGGUAGUCCACGCCGUAAACGAUGUCUACUUGGAGGUUGUGCCCUUGAGGCGUGGCUUCCGGAGCUAACGCGUUAAGUAGACCGCCUGGGGAGUACGGCCGCAAGGUUAAAACUCAAAUGAAUUGACGGGGGCCCGCACAAGCGGUGGAGCAUGUGGUUUAAUUCGAUGCAACGCGAAGAACCUUACCUGGUCUUGACAUCCACAGAACUUUCCAGAGAUGGAUUGGUGCCUUCGGGAACUGUGAGACAGGUGCUGCAUGGCUGUCGUCAGCUCGUGUUGUGAAAUGUUGGGUUAAGUCCCGCAACGAGCGCAACCCUUAUCCUUUGUUGCCAGCGAUUAGGUCGGGAACUCAAAGGAGACUGCCAGUGAUAAACUGGAGGAAGGUGGGGAUGACGUCAAGUCAUCAUGGCCCUUACGACCAGGGCUACACACGUGCUACAAUGGCGCAUACAAAGAGAAGCGACCUCGCGAGAGCAAGCGGACCUCAUAAAGUGCGUCGUAGUCCGGAUUGGAGUCUGCAACUCGACUCCAUGAAGUCGGAAUCGCUAGUAAUCGUGGAUCAGAAUGCCACGGUGAAUACGUUCCCGGGCCUUGUACACACCGCCCGUCACACCAUGGGAGUGGGUUGCAAAAGAAGUAGGUAGCUUAACCUUCGGGAGGGCGCUUACCACUUUGUGAUUCAUGACUGGGGUGAAGUCGUAACAAGGUAACCGUAGGGGAACCUGCGGUUGGA
rnacentral:rRNA from 2 species